rnacentral:lncRNA from 1 species
UCUGGGGCGUGGCCAAGUACACAAGAUGCCUCUUCAGAAAACCAUCUUCAUGUUAAAAGGAGGUCUACUGAAAACUAACUACCGCUAGAUGAGUCACCUCAAGCUGUCUUAGACGACUCCUGUGAAAAGAUCCUUUGAGCCACAAAGAAAGAGGUUUUGACCCACAGUGCUAACCACUGACCUAAAGGUUUAUAUUGCAAAGUCGGUUAUAGUGAGAGCAAAGAAUGAAACUGGAUUGGAAAGACAGAAGCUCGGGGACAACCAGAAGGACCCACAGAGACUCUAACAAAUUCAAAAGACUGACGAAAACAUUGACUUAAGAACCACAAAAAUUUGACCGUGCUUCUUCACAGGUGACCGACUCGGGAGGCAACAGAGAGGGCAAGAAAAAAGAAGUGGUCGUCAGGAUUUCACACACUGCUUCAUGACAAAGACAAUCUUAAAGCAAAUAUUUUGCAUUGCCUAAAAGCUGAGGUUUACCUGGGAACCCUGGUGACUGAUUUGAGUGUCUUCAAUUUUUAGGUGGAAUAAAC